CUCGAGGUCAACGUCAGAGCACGACGCUUGGCAUUUGUUUCCCAAAAAUUAGCUAUUGGCAGCAUCUACAACGCGCUGUGCCAUCCCAGCUAAUAGCUCUAAGAAGAAUUACAAUCACAGAAUUCACUUUUUAGCUGCUCAGAUCAAGUACAACAAGCAUGCGUUUGUCAGCCACACGGCGGCUCGAGCUAGCAGCAUUCCUGACGUCCGAUUAUGUUUCAUUCUGCCUUUGGCAGAAGUUUGCAGUUUCCUUCUUGAAGUUGUAUAAUAGAUACUUUUGAUUCAUAAUUGAAUGGAAGAUUAUAAUCAACCUUGGGAUGUUCGCUUGCUCAUGGAAUAAAGCCACUAAGUCCACUAUAAAUAUUUAUAAUUUUUUCCACAUUUGUUAGUAUAAUUAAAGGGAAGGAAAUUCAAUGCAACAGUUGGGGGAGGGAGGGAAGUAAAACCUGUUAUUUACAGUGUCCUUUAAAAUUAAAUGUAUAGGCAUUAAUUGCUUAUUAUACACACCGUUAUUCAACCAGCAACAUGCAGAAAGCCAAGCCAAAGAGAAGAGCCUACAGCUUACAAACAGCCUUCAAUAAUGUGUCCUGACCGGUCAUUCAGACAAGAAAAGGCACAGAGCAUCGUGUUCAUUUCCACCAGCAGAGACUACAAGAUGCUACUGCGGCAGCUCAGUAUUGUUUUACACAGUGCAGCACCGUGUGAAUGACUGUGCAGUGUUAGCUGCUACCAGCACCAUUUAGGAGCAUUUUAUACCACUCCAAGACAAAUGCAAUUGGCCCUGUUAUCACUAUAUAUAUAAAACACCCACGAGUCCCUGGCAGAAAUGCAAGGGCACGUAGUGGUGAGGAAAAUGCUGCCUCCAACCUCGCUGCUCCUCGUGGAGAACAGCAACCAUCACCUGGUAACCAACUUCACAAAGGCAGACAACAGCCUUGUCCCCAGCUGAGAAAUCCCCAGUUUACACUGCAGUUCCAGAAGAGGAACGCUCAUUUUCAAAAAGGUUUGGGAGCCUGCAACAACGGGGUGCAGGCAGGAGCUGGUCCCAGUGUGCCCGGAAGGAUUUGCAUGCUCAGAGAAAGAGCUGAAAACACACUUUCUUCGACUGCCUGAACUGUGCUGCCAGAAAAGUGAGGAGAGGAAGAAACAAAACAAAAACACUGAAGUGCUAUUGCCUGGAAACCACUUU
rnacentral:lncRNA from 1 species